GCGGAAGUAGUUCAGUGGUAGAACAUCACCUUGCCAUGGUGGGGGUCGCGGGUUCGAAUCCCGUCGUUCGCU
rnacentral:tRNA from 1 species